rnacentral:tRNA from 1 species
UAGAUUGAAGCCAGUUGUGUUGGGCGUUUAGCUGUUAACUAAAUGUUUGCAGGUUUGAAUCCUGCCAGUCUAG